UUCGUGAGAAGAGAUAUUUUCAACCUGUAGAAAGGCAAAACUCCAUUCACCAGUCUACAUUCAAACUUGAGACGUUCACAAUAGAAUCACGGUGUUUUUGUAAUUUUUGUCAACAUAUAAGCAUUCAGAAGACUCGCAACAAAAUAAGAAUUAAUAUGGAUUUGUCAUCGUCACAUUCAUCGUCUUCCUCUUCUUCAAACAACAAGUCUAAAAAUGACAAUUCCUCCAAAUGCAAUCAUAUGACAAAUGCUUAUGGAGUUUCAAAAUGGAAAGGAGAAACUUCACUGCAUUGGUCGACUUUUGACGAGGGACAAAUGAAACAAGAAAAUAUUCGCUUCAAUGACAACAAAGUGGUGUAUCAUAAUUUAAAUGACAAUUCCAUUAAAGUUUAUAAUUUAGAGAAGAAUAUAAAGUAUACUGAAAUUAAAAAUACUAAAAAAUAAGAAUAUUAAUAAAAAUUGUAUAAUGUCUUAUAACAAUCUAUUAAACAGAAUAUUUAACUCUAAAACUAUUGACAAUGUUCUACUUCAAAUUUAUAAUGAAAAUAAAAACGCUAAUGAAAAUAAACAAUACUAAUAAU